rnacentral:snRNA from 1 species
CAUUGAUAUAGAGAAGAUUAUCAUGGGCCCUGUGCAAGGAGGACAUGCAAAUUCAUGAAGCAUUCCAUAUUUUU